rnacentral:rRNA from 1 species
CGAAGGGGGCUAGCGUUGUUCGGAAUUACUGGGCGUAAAGCGCAUGUAGGCGGCUACGUCAAGUCGAGGGUGAAAUCCUGAGGCUCAACCUCAGAACUGCCUUCGAUACUGUGUGGCUCGAGUAUGGAAGAGGUAGGUGGAACUGCGAGUGUAGAGGUGAAAUUCGUAGAUAUUCGCAAGAACACCAGUGGCGAAGGCGGCCUACUGGUCCAUCACUGACGCUGAGAUGCGAAAGCGUGGGGAGCAAACAGGAUUAGAUACCCUGGUAGUCCACGCCAUAAACGAUGAGAGCUAGCUGUUGGAGGGUUUACUCUUCAGUAGCGCAGACAACUCGAUAAGCUCUCCGCCUGGGGAGUACGGUCGCAAGAUUA